CGCUCUGGGAUAGCACAGUCGGUAGAGCACGAGGCUCUUAAUCUUAGGGUUGUGGGUUUAAGCCGCACACUGGGUGG